rnacentral:rRNA from 1 species
UUCGCCCUUAGAGUUUGAUCCUGGCUCAGAGCGAACGCUGGCGGCAGGCUUAACACAUGCAAGUCGAACGGGCUUCUUCGGAAGUCAGUGGCAGACGGGUGAGUAACACGUGGGAACGUGCCCUUUGGUUCGGAAUAACUCAGGGAAACUUGAGCUAAUACCGGAUACGCCCUUAUGGGGAAAGGUUUACUGCCGAAGGAUCGGCCCGCGUCUGAUUAGCUUGUUGGUGGGGUAACGGCCUACCAAGGCGACGAUCAGUAGCUGGUCUGAGAGGAUGAUCAGCCACACUGGGACUGAGACACGGCCCAGACUCCUACGGGAGGCAGCAGAAGGG